rnacentral:rRNA from 1 species
UAGGGAAUCUUCGGCAAUGGACGAAAGUCUGACCGAGCAACGCCGCGUGAGUGAAGAAGGUUUUCGGAUCGUAAAACUCUGUUGGUAGAGAAGAACGUUGGUGGGAGUGGAAAGCUCAUCAAGUGACGGUAACUACCCAGAAAGGGACGGCUAACUACGUGCCGG